UAGAGUUUGAUCCUGGCUCAGAUUGAACGCUGGCGGCAUGCUUUACACAUGCAAGUCGAACGGUAACAGGGUGCUUGCACCGCUGACGAGUGGCGAACGGGUGAGUAAUGCGUCGGAACGUGCCGAGUAGUGGGGGAUAACGCAGCGAAAGUUGUGCUAAUACCGCAUACGUACUGAGGUAGAAAGUGGGGGACCUUCGGGCCUCACGCUAUUCGAGCGGCCGACGUCUGAUUAGCUAGUAGGUGAGGUAAAGGCUCACCUAGGCGACGAUCAGUAGCGGGUCUGAGAGGAUGAUCCGCCACACUGGGACUGAGACACGGCCCAGACUCCUACGGGAGGCAGCAGUGGGGAAUUUUGGACAAUGGGCGAAAGCCUGAUCCAGCCAUGCCGCGUGUCUGAAGAAGGCCUUCGGGUUGUAAAGGACUUUUGUCAGGGAGGAAAUCCCUAGUGCUAAUAACACUGGGGGAUGACAGUACCUGAAGAAUAAGCACCGGCUAACUACGUGCCAGCAGCCGCGGUAAUACGUAGGGUGCGAGCGUUAAUCGGAAUUACUGGGCGUAAAGCGUGCGCAGGCGGUUUGAUAAGCCAGAUGUGAAAUCCCCGAGCUCAACUUGGGAACUGCGUUUGGAACUGUCAGACUAGAGUGCGUCAGAGGGGGGUGGAAUUCCGCGUGUAGCAUGAAAUGCGUAGAGAUGCGGAAGAACACCGUGACGAAAGCAGCCCCCCUGGAUGACACUGACUCUAUGCGCGAAGCUGGUCAGAAAAAGAGAUUGAGACGCCGCAAUCACGCCUAAACGAUGUGUGUUAGC
rnacentral:rRNA from 1 species